AACAGGCUUGUACUAGCUAAGUGAACCACGCUAAUGCAAUACAUGUAACAAAACCUGAAAGGCCAACCGUGAAACCAUUAGCUAACUCCCCUAGAAAAAUCCAACGUAUAAGACAUUAUUUAAGUGCCAACUGGCUAAAGUACAAAUCUACCUUCAUAUUCAAUUGCCCCUUCCAAAAUUAGAUACGAGCUAGUGUGUAUAUAUACAAUGACUCUGAUUACCAUUUAAGCACUACAUAAAGGUUGAUACCAGUGAAUAAGACUCAUCACUAGCUAGCAGCUGUUUCUCUUCCCAAAUGCCAAAGUCAGAGACACAACAAGAGACUCCACCUGCAGGAUACCCAAAUGGGAAUCCCCCCAAAGGAAAUAAAUGCUGCACUCGGGGUAGCAAGAAGAAAGGAGACAGAGGCUUCAUAGAGGGAUGCCUUUUCGCUCUCUGCUGCUGUUGGCUCUGUGAAGAAUGCUUCUAAUUGACGCUUCUUGUUGUAAAAGAGGAUUUCAAUCAAGCAAAGCUAUUAUGUCAGCUUACCAGUGUUGAUCUGUCUUUUGUUUUUCGUUGGUUUUCUGACUAUUUUUCUCUAUGAUUAUAUAUUAUAAUAACUUUUUUUUUUAUAGGUAAUUAUAUAUUAUAAUAACAUGUGAGUUGAGACCUACAUAUGAUCCUACAUCAGCUACUUGAUGUUGAUUGCAGAAACAUAUUUCUCUACUCUCAUCACUCCCUUUUCUUCCUUCAUUCUUUCAUAUUAGUAAGUUUCCCGUGCAUAAUGUUGUAACGUUUUAUGUAAGAUGGGUGCAUAAUGUUGUAAUAUUUUAUGUAAGAUGGUAUAGUGUUAUAAUGUUUUAUGUAAGAUGGUCUUGAAGAAUGUUUUACAUAUAUUAUAGCAUAAUUGUUAUACAA